GGACGCCUUAGAGGGUGAGAGCCCCGUACGGUUGGACACCAAGCCUCUGUAAAGCUCCUUCGACGAGUCGAGUAGUUUGGGAAUGCUGCUCUAAAUGGGAGGUAAAUUUCUUCUAAAGCUAAAUAUUGGCCAGAGACCGAUAGCGCACAAGUAGAGUGAUCGAAAGAUGAAAAGCACUUUGAAAAGAGGGUUAAAUAGCACGUGAAAUUGUUGAAAGGGAAGCGUUUGCGACCAGACCUUUUCCUGGCGGAUCAUCCGGUGUUCUCACCGGUGCACUUCGCCAGGUUUAGGCCAGCAUCGGUUUCUGCAGGGGGAUAAAAGCUUGGGGAAUGUGGCUCCUCCGGGAGUGUUAUAGCCCCUCGCAUAAUACCCUUGCGGGGACCGAGGACCGCGCUUCGGCAAGGAUGCUGGCGUAAUGGUCGUCAACGACCCGUCUUGAAACACGGACCAAGGAGUCGAACAUUUGUGCGAGUGUUUGGGUGUUAAACCCUCACGCGUAAUGAAAGUGAACGGAGGUGAGAGCCCUUGCGGGUGCAUCAUCGACCGAUCCUGAUGUCUUCGGAUGGAUUUGAGUAAGAGCAUAACUGUUCGGACCCGAAAGAUGGUGAACUAUGCGUGGAUAGGGUGAAGCCAGAGGAAACUCUGGUGGAGGCUCGCAGCGGUUCUGACGUGCAAAUCGAUCGUCAAAUCUGCGCAU
rnacentral:rRNA from 1 species